UCGACCCGUCCGCCAACGUGAUCCUGAAUAUGUCCUUCGAAGAGGCGAUCGACGCGGUCGGUUCGGGCGACGCCGAUCGGGUUCGCGCGAUUGAUGGGCAAUUCGCACUCCUGCACCAGCGGGGACAGAUCGUGCACAUGGCGCGCUCCAUCGGACGGCCGAUGCGGUACUUCCUCGCCAAGCAGAUCGAAGGGCCGUGUCUGAUUGUCGCCGAGCGGAUCGAGGAAAUUGCCGAUUUCCUCAAGGCCGAGGGAUUGGCGGACCAGUUCCACCCGUCUUACACGCGGAUGGUCCCGGCGCAUUACGUCGUCGAGAUCGCGCUGGUCGGAUGUCCGGACCCGAACCCGAAAUACACGCGCUACUUCACGCCGGAGCGCAAUCGGCUGCUUGCCGAAGUGGAGGAAAUCGGCGCCGCCUACAUCGGCGCGCUGCAGGCGGAAAUCGGGAAAUGGCUCGACGGCAUCGACGCGGUUGAACCACUCGGCGUGCUGUUCUCGGGCGGCAUCGACAGCGGCUCGGUGUUCCUCGUGCUUUACGACCUGCUGCUGAAGCGCGGCCAGUCUCCAGCCCGCCUCAAGGCGUUCACGCUCUCCAUCGACGGGUCGGGGCGCGACGUGGUGCAGGCGCGGCGGUUCCUUGAUGAAGUCGAUCUCGGGAUGUUCCUCGAGGUGAUUGAAGUCCCGGCCGAUGCGGUGCGGCUCGAAGACGCCGUGCGGGCCAUCGAAGACUACAAGCCGCUCGACGUGCAGUCGGCGGCGAUGGCGCUCGCGCUGUGCCGCGGCAUCCGCGAACGGUAUUCGGACUGGACGUAUCUCAUCGACGGCGACGGCGGGGACGAGAACCUCAAGGACUAUCCGAUCGACGAGAACAGUGAGCUGACGAUCCGCAGCGUGCUCAACAAUCUGAUGUUGUAUCAGGAGGGGUGGGGCGUCGACGCCAUCAAGCACUCGCUCACCUUCAGUGGCGGUCAGAGCCGUGGACACGUACGGUCCUACGCGCCGGCGCGGUUGCUGGGUUUCCGCGGGUUCAGCCCGUAUGCCUUGCCGAACGUGAUCGAAGUCGCCGAAGGCAUUCCCUUCAUCGAAUUGACCGGCUGGGACCCGGAGAAGCUCCAUGUGUUGAAGGGAGAGAUUGUGCGGCGCGGCAUUGAGGCUGUCACGGGCAUCACGAUGCCGGUGUUCCCCAAACGGCGGUUCCAGCACGGGACGAUGGCUGAGGACGCGUUUGCGG
rnacentral:misc_RNA from 1 species